rnacentral:rRNA from 1 species
GUUACCAGCACGUAAUGGUGGGCACUCUAAGGAGACUGCCGGUGACAAACCGGAGGAAGGUGGGGAUGACGUCAAGUCAUCAUGGCCCUUACGGCCAGGGCUACACACGUGCUACAAUGGUCGGUACAAAGGGUUGCCAAGCCGCGAGGUGGAGCUAAUCCCAUAAAACCGAUCGUAGUCCGGAUCGCAGUCUGCAACUCGGCUGCGUGAGGUCGGAAUCGCUAGUAAUCGUGAAUCAGAAUGUCACGGUGAAUACGUUCCCGGGCCUU